CGGGGUUCGUGGGAUUUAAUUUAAAAAUAUUCUACUAGAUACCGAAUUUCUAGGAAGUUCACCAUGUUGAUUCUGGCAUUCAACUCGAGCUAUUGUACCGAAAUAAACGCCGGUAGGCAGGCAAUUCGCUUGACUGAUUUGUAUAACGUGAUGCGUGUAUCUUACUGCGUGUAUGGAUCUGUGUGUGGACUUUGGCAUACAAUUGCUAUUGGAUGAAACGGAUGAAACUACUGAAUUGACAAUAGAGUUAGAUUCUGUUAUGCAACGGUUUAUCUUUCUCCUGUGGAAGACACUUAAUCGUUUUCAUGAGUACCGCCUAUGGAUACCUGCAGAGCUAUCUGUAUGCAGAUUGUGUUAUCACCAUUGCAUACUGUACUCGUGUAGAGUGGAGACGCCAAAGGCGAUAUCGUUAAUCCGAUCUGGGAAAUGUCAUUUCCCAGAAUUUAUAUUAGUACAAGAAGAAAGGUUACGACCUUGUCAACAAAAAAUGAGGACUAUUUCGCUGGAUUUCACUUUCGAUGACCUCGACCAAGCCGCUAACCAAAAACGAAAAGCGAACCAUAACCUCAGUCAAGACGUCUACAAUAUGGAGAUUGAUACAGAUCUCUUCCAUAUCGACCGAGCGUCAAUUCUCAUUUCGUCACGUCAAGAAUGUCCGCAACAAUAUGUCGCGCGAUGUAACACGUCGGCGCUGUUUACUUCUCAAAAAUUUGACGAGAACUCCGUUAAACAAAAAACUCGCACCCAGUUGAAAUGCAUCGUAAUAUCAGCAAGAGAUACGUAUUGAGAAUACAAAGUAUAAUAAAUUGUAACUCACCUCUAAACACGUCCAUUUUAUGUGGGAUUAUUCUGUAGAGCUAAACGCAGCUUGUUCUACCUCGACUAACCCACGUGUCCACCUACACGUAGAACUUUCCCCUGAGUCAGUGAUCACAGAAGCCUGAGUCUCAUAGUACCACAGUAAGAAGUAUUACGUUUCCCAGCACAGUCCAAUUGUCAAGAUAUCUCAAAGGAUAAAGAUAAAAAGAAGAUGGAUCAGUGUUUAACCACAAUUUAAAUCCGCCAAGAAGUGAUGCCAAAUAUUUAAACUACACCUGAAAGAGAACCCACCAAUAAUAAAUUCAAUGUAAAUAAAAAAGUUCAUCAAAAAUUAUCCAAAUCCA